UGGCAAACUCUGCCUCGCAAGCAGCUGGGACUACAGGCAUGCUCCACGGUGCCCAGUUAAUUUUUUUUGUAUUCUUAGUAGAGACAGGGUUUCACCAUGUUGGCCAGGCUAGUCUUGAAUUUCUGACCUCAAGUGAUUCACCUCCCAAAGUGCUGGGAUUACAGGCGUGAGCCACCACGGCCGGCUAAUUUUUGUACUUUUUAGUAGUGACUGGUUUCGCGGUGUUGACCAGGCUGGUCUCGAACUCCUGAUCUCAGGCGGCUCACCUGAGGUCAGGAGUUGGAGACCAGCCUGGCCAACAUGCUGAAACCCUGUCUGUACAAAAAUACAAAAAUAGCUGGGCAUGGUGGCGCAUGCCUGUAGUCCCAGCUACUAGAGCGACUGAGGCAGGAGAAUUGCUUGAACCUGGGAGGCGGAGGUUGCAGGGAGCCAAGAUGGCGCCACCGCACUCCAGCCUAGGUGAUAGAGUGAGACUCCCUCUCAAAAACAAAACAAAACAAAAAAAUUAGACAAAUGCUACAUUAAUGUUUGGGUGGUCAGAUUCUACUUUGAAUCUGAAGUUUGCAGAUAUGCCUAUAGAUUUUUGGAGUUCACCACUUUCUUAUUCUGUAUCAUUAAUGUAAUAUUU
rnacentral:sRNA from 1 species